UAUGGAGAAUAAUUCAAUAGGAACCUACGAAUCUCGUCAGGGCCGGAAGGAAGCAGCGAUAAGUAGUAUAUUUCUAUGUGGAUUAUUUUCCAUAGAA
rnacentral:SRP_RNA from 1 species